rnacentral:rRNA from 1 species
AACGAACGCUGGCGGCAGGCUUAACACAUGCAAGUCGAGCGCAUCCUUCGGGGUGAGCGGCAGACGGGUGAGUAACGCGUGGGAAUCUACCUUUUGCUACGGAAUAGCUCCGGGAAACUGGAAUUAAUACCGUAUGUGCCCUUAGGGGGAAAGAUUUAUCGGCAAGAGAUGAGCCCGCGUUGGAUUAGCUAGUUGGUGGGGUAAAGGCCUACCAAGGCGACGAUCCAUAGCUGGUCUGAGAGGAUGAUCAGCCACAUUGGGACUGAGACACGGCCCAAACUCCUACGGGAGGCAGCAGUGGGGAAUAUUGGACAAUGGGCGCAAGCCAGAUCCAGCCAUGCCGCGUGAGUGAUGAAGGCCUUAGAGUUGUAAAGCUCGUUCACCGGAGAAGAUAAUGACGGUAUCCGGAGAAGAAGCCCCGGCUAACUUCGUG